GUUGAGCAGCAGGAUGGACCAAACGGUCAAGUAGGAUAUAUUGCGAGGAUAUAUUUUACAUGUUUUCAAAGUAAAAACAGUAAUUUAUCACUAUGGGUUUUUGUAUGAGAAAAGUUAGGGGUGUUUUAUUUUGUGAAAAUAACCGAAAGUGCGUUGCUCACUUCGGCUAGCUUAUAUUUUUCCGAAUUCGUCCGAACGAAAUUGUAAACGGUUGGUAUUUGGACAAAUAAAUGGCACACUCGGUAUCUAAACGGCCACUUUCUCGCCUGGUUUUUAAAAAAUCAAUAAAGUGAUAUAGUGAGUUUAGAGCUAAAGUGAAAUCAGCUUCAGCCUUUCAAUUUCGGGUGGGUAGGAGCGCAAUGCAUUGUGGGUUAUCAUGUAGUACGCUGUAGUGUAAACGAUUUGCAUACUGUCUGAUGAAUUGGGUAUGCAGUAUGGAAUGUGGAUAGUAUGGACAUGGUAGUAGUAAGUAUGUAGUGUUUAGUAUGCGGUUUCGAACACAGCCAGACUAUUUUGAGGGGAGAGAAUUUAUGUUUUUUGCUCUGUUAGCCUCCAUUAGCUAGUCUACGCCAUCAUCACAGAUCUGCCUAGACUACUGGGCCUUACUGGAUGACACAUUGAGGGAAACCUAAACUAAAACCUUAAUUUAAAGGGGACCUAUUACCGUUUUUUCCACUUUUCUGACCUAUAAAUGUUGUUAGAAUGUUGUAUUGUCAUGUUAAACAAUGCCAAAGUUUCAGAUAAUGGGGUUAAAUAACGCAUUUAGAAGUUUGGGAUGGCUCUGGACGCCGACUCUUAGUUUUUCCUAAUAUGGGCCUUGCCUCCUCUGCGGCUCUGCUGCACUGUUUUGUCUUGGGAGUGUGACCAAUCACAGUGGAGUGGGCGUGCUCGGAGGUGGGUCAUGUGUGGAAUAAAUUAAAACUGACUGUUUUGGAAAUCCAAUGAAAUACAGCUGGAAUAAGUGCAGACUCUGGAACAGGGGUCGGCAACCUUUAUUAUGAAAAGAGCCAUUUCACCCCCUUGCUCACUAAAGAAAAAUAGCCUGGAGCCGCAAAACAUAGUAUGUUUAAAACAAAAUUGGAGGGAAUUUGGGGCUAUCAAAGUAGUUCAGAUAAGAAAAAAAACAAGUUGGAGUACUCUUGCUAGUAUUAUAUUAAAUAUAAACUUACAUAAAUAUAUGUGUAAAUUACUGUAAACUUACCUGAUACCUGAAGUUCCAAUGUCGCUGUUUUAUAUGAUCUCUAAUUUAUUUUUUAGAAUUGUCAAAUAGCUUUGGGAAAGUAUGAAAAGUAUUUAUAAAGUAUUUUCCUGAAUGUUUACCUGUGAGAGAGAACUGAAUAGCAUCCUGUCUGCUCAUCCUUGUACUCAUCCAAUCACCAGUCAGAACUCAGUCAGGAUGCAUUCAUGGACUCACACAAAGUUGGAUUUUUUUAAACUCAUUACAAAGACAUGCUUUUUCCCCACUGUGGUGUUAAAAAAUAUUCAAGCAUUGCAAAGGGAGCCACAACAAAGAGGCUGAAGAGCCACAUGCGGCUCUGGAGCCGCGGGUUGCUGACCCCUGCUCUGGAAGAUCGAGAAAGCUUUCUGUGUGGGUGCUGCUCUGUACAACUGCCCUGGACCAUGAGAGGUCGUCUCUGAGGCUGCGGACCGCCCUGAUGGAUCCUCCUUCCGCUGUCCCGCUCUCGACGGCCUCCCGAGGGAGCGUUGGACUACAACGCAGAUGGACACAAACAUGAAAUAUUCACACGCCGUCACAGCGGACCAGCUCGCUCUCCAGGUGAUGGCGUGAGAAGACGUUCACGUUGUUCUUACCGGCCGUCCUAACUCAGAGCCUCGGAGGAACUCAUCAACCGAAGGUCCUCUUCGUCGGCGACGCGGGAACCCUUCCUCGUCCUCCUCCUCCUCAUCCGAGUGAUGCUGCUGGAACGUCUGGCCCUGCUCGCCAUAGCCGGCAGGCCUCCGCUCCCCCUAAAACGCGAGACGGUGCUUUGUCAGUGUUGCUAUGACAACCAUUAGAGAGCAUCAUCGUGGGGCGUCAUCAGACCUUGCCACUCUCCGCCGCCACCCUCUGUGCCGCUUCCCGAGCGAUGGCUUUGGCAACGUUGUCCGGAACAAGAGUGCCUCGAGGCUGUGGCAGAAUCCUCUGUGGGGAGGGUGAGCGUGGAUUGCCAUGGGGAGGGGCCUCCAGGGUGUGGCCUUGCAUGGGGACAGGUGGCUGGGAAGAAGGGGAGCGCACGGCGUCCCAGCCGAGUGGACCGGGCGGGACAGCUGCCCCGUGGUGGGCGGCUUGCUCUUUGGCAUCCAGGUCUCUGGCACUUACUGGUCU